rnacentral:lncRNA from 1 species
UUUCUAAGGGUGCUGCCCUCUGAUGCUCUUGUCUCUUUUAUCUCUCAACCUAACCCUAUUCACUUUUCACCGCCUCCUUCUCCGGUCAUCUCCGACGACCGCCCUUUCAAGCCCAAGCCUUCAAUGGGUCUCUCAUCACACUGCUCAUCAUCUCUAAGGCCCUCUAGAGUUCUAGGCCAUGUCGAUUUGGACCUAGGGUUUCUGUUCAUGCUACUUAUGGGUCUCCGGUGUGAUUUUGGCAAAAUCACACCUUACAUGUCACGAUCGGUGAAGUUUCAACAGGUUCCUUUAAUUUUUACUUGGUUUUCUUUUUGAAACCCUAACUCUCUUCUGAAUCUCUUAUAUCUAUGUUUAUGCUUUAAGCCUAUCUCCUUCCGUGACUUGCUUAUCCUCGAGCUUUCUUUUGAAAGAGCUUCUUCUUUAAAUCAUUUUUACUCCCUUAGAGAAACUAGGGUUUUCUGAGUUCUUUCUAUACUUGUUUCGACUGAUUUCUUUAUGAUUAUACCUUUUUCUUUGUUUAUCUUGACCAAUUCUAAGUUCUUACUUCUUUUUAACUCAACUCUGUUAAAAAGCCCUAAUUUCUUAAAGUUUUUCUUCACUUAUUACUAUGAGUCUUAAAGAUUUUCUUUACUUGUUUUUGUGUGUUGGCCUGAUAUUCUUUACUUAUUUCUAUGUGUUUGAUUGGUUUUCUUCAAUUUGGUUAUAUGUGUUAGCCAUGACUACUUGACUUUGUUAAGUUUCUAUUGGUUACUGUGCUUCGAAUGGUUUUUCUACUCAGUCCUUAGCCUACCCAUGUCACUUCUGUAUGAUUGUGUCUAUCUAGUUUGCUCAUCUCUUGCUUCCUUCUGUCGAUAUGGCUAACCUUGUAUGUCUGAUAUGCUUGUUCAUUCAUAUCUAUUUAUAUGUUGAAGUACAAAAUCAUGACUUCCUCUUGAUUGAUCCCGAUCUCCUUAAUUUAUGAUUUGAUUGAAAGAUUUUCUUAUAAAACCCUAAAAUUUUAUUCGGCUGUCUAAGUUGAUUGAUUCUAUUUUCUUAUUUGCUGUGGUGAUUCAUUCUUGAUGAAUCCUUUCCUUAAUUAAUGUAUUCUGUACUUAGACUCAAUCAUAUACUCUAUACUUUACUACCCCUUAUAUGGUAAAAACCAGUCUUCCUCAACUGAUUUUCUUUCCUUGGUUAUCCCUGUUGGUAACCAUUUAAGCUGUAAUUACUUGAUUAAAGGGGAGUACUUGUAGUAAUUGGAUUCUAGCUGUGAUUACUUGCAUAAUUAUGCUAAAACUUUACUUGUUACCUUAUUUUCUACCUAUUUUCAAACUUAUAAAUUCCCUAGGUCUAUUAUUAACAACACACGAACACAGUAGUUCAAAACCCUCUCUCACACAAAAAGAAAACAUUCCCACGCUCUCUUUCUUUGGUUAUUUUGCUGUUGUUCUAAGUAAGCAGGCUGCAAGCCAAGACUGAUUACUAUGGUCUCUUGCCCCCUCACUUUGUGUUUACUUCUUUACUAGUAUAUUCUAGUUUCAAUUCACGUUUCAAAACAAUGUGUUUCUUUUACUGCUUCAUUUCAUCUUGUUUCUAGUAUGUUUUCACUUAUGGCUCUAUUGAUUCAACUUGUAAUUAAUAUGUUUACUUCAUCACUUCAUCAACAUGAUUUUAAAUGUCUCCCCUCCCUUAGACUCAUCAUAAUUAUAAAAUUGUUAUUCUCCUUCCUAAUAUACCCCAAUAUGGCCCCUCUUUACUUGUGUUUGCUUUGAUUUCUAGCAUGAACCUCUCUAUUAAAAAAAUAAAUAGUUGGCUAUCCUCAAGUUACAUGAUUCUGUGUUCUCUAACUCCAAAGCAUAUUGCUGAUUCUAUACUUGAGCACUCCUGCAACUAUAUGUUUACUUAUGUGAUCUAUUGUGAGAACAUGAUUUUUGCCUCACAUGAAUUACUCCUACAAAAUCCCAAAAAUCAGAAUUUUCUUUUAAUUAUUUGUUAUUUUAGGAAUUAUUGUAGAAUUUUUUUAAUUAUUUUAUAUUUUUGUGUGCAUGCUUAAUCUUGUUUAACUCAUAAAUAAAAAAAUACAUUGCAUUUGUAUUUAUGAUUUAAUUUUAUAUUUUUUUAGAUUAAUUAGUAACUUAAUAUUUGACAAAAAUAGGAAAAUCACAAAAGUGGUUUAUUUUGCAGAUUUCACUCUUUAAUUUCGAUUUUUCGUAGAUUUUUCUAUUAAAUUUAGGAGUUAAUUAACUCUUGUAAACACUAUGCUCGAGUAAUUAAUACAUUUUGAUAGGUUAACUUAGUUUUAAGACUUAAUGUAGGUUUUAUUUUUAUUAAUUUGGAAAGAAAGAAAAUUAGAAAUUGGAAGAAAAGGAAAGGAAAUAAAGAGAUAUGGUUUUUGGGCUCUUUCAUUAAGUCUUCCCCCCAUGCCCAAAUGUUUUGCUCACUACCAGUUCAAAAAUUGUUCCAAACCCAGGUCAUUAUACGGUCAACAUUUUAUUUGAACGGUGUUGUUUUGAGUUCCCUAAUCCUGAUCCAAUCUAAGCUUUUUAUUUACUCUCAUCUAAUGGCCCAAACCCUCCCCCAUUUCAGUUAAAUCUGUCUGAAGAUCUAGAGUUAGCCUAGUCUAGACUCAAAAUACUCUCUAUCUCUCUUUCUCCUUCGUCCAUUUUUGCUGGCGUUCCAUAUCCAAAUCUUCCCAAAACAUUACCACACACUCCCCAUAACCCGUAAAUAUUAAACCACCACAAAUUUCCCCUAAAUCCUUGCCACUUGUCCUUAAUUUUUUAUUAUAAAAUGGAGCCCUAGACUUGUUCCCGCCCUCGGUUCAUCAUUUAAAGGGUCUCGUCCGUUACUUUGAAGGUGAUUUUGGCCAAAAUGAGUGCUAGACGUUUUUUCUCGCAAGAACAACUAACUGAAACUCCUUUUUGCUUCAAAUCGGGGAGCACCGAAAGUCUGUUCAAGCCAUUUUCUUAAAAUUAGCUGUAGUUGAGGGGAAGUGCCCUAGUGUGUUUACAAUAACGAUCAAAGCAGUGAUAAGUCGUUUGUGUGUGAUUAAAUAUUAUCUGAUUGGAUCUGAUAUUUAAAAAUGUGUCUUGUCCAUUGUCAAUCUUAUCGGGGGUCUGUUGAUAUGGUAUGUUAUAAAGGUUUAAUUAGAGUAUUGGUUUGCAUGUCAUAUGUUCUUAAGUCAGCUUGGUUUAAUAGUUAGAACGGAAUUUUAUAUAGUUUUGUGUUCGUAUUUCAAUAAUACCUUUGAACUCAAGUCAUGAAUUUCGUCUGUUAGUUUUGGAUUAGAUUUAAAGUUGAGUGUUAAAUAAAUAAAUAUUGCUUUCCUCUGAAGGGCCUUGAUUGCAUUAGACUUGGGAUCUCUUUGGGCCUAAUGUUCAUUUUUGAAUACUGCGACUAGCUGGAUCUAAGUAAGACCUGGCCCAAAGAUGCAUGAAUGUUAAAAUUUAAAAGUUUAGCUAGUUGACUUAUGCUUAAAUAGUUAAAAAUUUAGAAGCAGAAUGUUAGUCUGAGUUCAUGUUUUCAUAUAGUUUUGGUUGAAUUGCAUUUAACAUUUUGCACAAUUGUUUAGACCUGCAAGUUGGGUCUAUUGUAGGCCCAGUUAAUGAAAAGUUCAAUUUCAAAUUUAAUUGCAUAGCCUCAUCACGUCUGCGCCUACCUGUUUAAUUUCCUAUCUGAAUGCUGUUGUUAGCCCAAACCAAUUUUUAAAUAAUCAUCCUUGUUUCUCUUUAAAGAAAUUUCUCUUUAAUUAGUUUGAGCAUAAGUUUAAAAGUGAAUUUCCAAUUUUGUUAGUGUUUAAUUAAUUAGAUUCUGUUAAUAGUUGAGGUGUGCCGCGCCACAUAAAAUCUCAAAUGCAUGGCUCUCAUUUAAUUAAUUUGAAUUCUUAGAAAUCGAGACGUGCCAUUUAGUCAAAUUUUUCAUGACCCUUGCAAACUUGAAAGUGCGUAGCUGAUUUAGGUGCGCUAUAUUAAAAAUUACUUUCCUAAACUCGGGUGUGCAUUUCAUGUGACCCAAAUCUAAAUUUCAACAAUAUUAAAUAAAGUGCGUCGUGGAUUGCGGUUGCAUUUUAUGUAGCGUGGUUCAAAGACGUGUUUUAGAUAAUGUUGAAUCUUCCUAAGAUUAAUUAAAAGUGAUUAAUUAUUUAAACUUAUACCAUAGGCUAAAAUAUAUUUUAAAAUUAGAUAAUAUGACAAUUAUGAUAGUUUAAGCGACCGUGCUAGAAGCACGGAAUCCGGGGGUUCCUAACACCUUCCCUCGGUUAGCAGAAUUCCUUAUUCAGAAUUUCUAGUUCACAGACUUCAAAAGGAAAUAAAGUCGAAUUUUCCUCGAUUUGGGAUUUUAAAAUAAUCCGGUGACUUGGGGCACCAGAAAACAAACCAUCCCAAGUGGCGACUUUGAAAAUAAAUAAAUAAAUAAUCUCAUUUCGAAUAGUAUCACAUAAAGUAGAAAAACCCCCUUGUACUACCUUCGGGUGUGUAAAAAGAAGGUGUGACAGCUCUGGCGACUCUGCUGGGGAUCCAAACUCAGAACUUCAGUUUAAGGUCAAAAAUUUGAGCUUAGAAUAGCUAUCAUAGUUGGCUUUAUUUAUUAUCUGAUUUUUCUACACCUUUAAGCCUAAUGUGCUAAAUGUCACUUUUUACUGCUUUGACAUUAUAUGAACUGUAUAUAAACUGCUAUGAAACUCUUCUUCUCUUUGGGUCUUCUAAAUCAUCUAAAAAGUGGUGCACUUCGUGUGACUUCUCUUAUGUUUAGAGUCUUAUCCAAUUUUAGAAUGAGGUUCGGACAAGUUGCAAAGCCGGUGAAGCUUCUGUAUUCGGGGUACGCUGCACCCCUCCCCCCUCCGGCUCGAGCUGUUCGCUUGGGUAAGCCAGGUCUAGAAAAAUACACCCAGGUUUUAAACCUAGUAUAACAAAACCUCGUGUAGGAAUAUUUGUUUGCGUCACGUGCAUUUGAAUUUAGAGACUCAACAUAGGGGUUGUGUCUGUCUAGGACAGGUGUACCCGAAAUGAAAAGACCAUCCUGAUGCAUCCUACUUGCUACUUGUGCAUUUAUUUGCUUUGAAUUUGCAUGGUGACUGGCUUAUGAAUAAUAUGAGAUAACUUGGGGAAAAGAAAAGUCAGUGUGAGGGCUAAGAGAGAUAAUUGGGUGUCUUUGAAAAACCAAUGUCCAAAAAAUAUACUGAAGUUUUGAAAAAGAAAAGAAAAGAAAAGAAAAUCUUGUUUUUUUUAAAAAUAGUUGGUAUUGUUUUUAUUUUUGUCAAAUCUGCCCGAACUACACUAGUUUGAUUCUCAUCGGAUGUGGGAUACAUAGGCAACCCCCAUCGGGUCCAACUUCCUUUUGCCAAAAUAGCCUAAAAAGAAUAAUUUUUAUUUUUAUUGUAAAUAAGUAAGGUCAUGCCAUUCGUGUCUAAAAUAGCCGAAUGUCUAAAAUUCACCUAAGAACAACUACCUUUAUUUACUUUUUCAAUGUUUUGGCCGGUUAACCAACACAACCUUAAAGUUUUCCUCCCCGAAGUGCUGUAAGUCCGUAUUUGCAAAGCCAGAUUUUUUAGGAAAUGUUUGAAAAAUAAUAGUGUUAACUUUUUCUCAAGUCAAAAUGAAUCAUGAUAUUUUAAUUAAAUCACCCUAAUAAAUGUGCAGGAUGAGCAUAAAUGAAAAUGAACCCUUCACAACUCUUGAGGAAAUCCCCUUACAGCUCAAUAUGUGGUGGAACGACUUAGGGAAAGGCAGCCGAGGGAUGUAGGUUAAAGUUUUUGGUGGUCUUGUCAAACUUUUGAAAACCAAGCCAAGAUUUGAUCUGAUUGAAGCUUUGCUACCUUUCCGGGAUCCAACCUACAACGUGUUUUGAUUUUUCUGAUUUUGAGCUCAACCCCACACUAGAGAAAAUUGCGGGUUAUGUUGGCCUUAGCAGAAAUCUUAGAAGUUGGUACCCAGUAUCACCAAGAAUAGUAUCUCCCCACAAGUUUCUAGAUAUGUUGAGUAUAAGCUGGGAUAUUCAGGAUGGGAAUUUAUCCGAAGGGUUUUGCACAUUCCAAUUCUUGUACAAGUGCUAUAGCAAUCCCCAAGGUUUUGAAGCACCGAAUACUGGUCUAACCCAUGCAGGAAACAAAGACAAAUAGGAGGCACGGUGGGGCUUAGUUUUUAUAGUAGCAUUCUUGGGUGUCAUAAUCUGUCCGAGGAAAGAUGACAACGUAUAGUGGAGUCUCAUGGGAGUUGUUGAUGUCGUGAUCAAGAAAGCUAAUGGAACCCUAAUUCCGAUGAUCUUAUCUGAAAUAUACCAAGCUUUGACCAUAUGCCGAGAAGGGGGAAGAUUCUUCCAAGGUUGUUACCUACUCAUACAACUGUGGAUAUAAGAAUAUCUCUAUUACGAUAUACUACGACAUGACUGGUUUGAAUUGCACUGAAAAGUUCAAAAACCGAGUGGUGAGUGUUGAAUUCCAAAGGGUAUGGAGGCAUGGUUUGCACACUUGAGUUCUUUGACCUCGGACAAAAUUGAGUGAACUUUUGGAUGGCUCCAUGUCACCGAAGUCAUAUACAUGUCAACUCAAGUAUGCUAUAUUCUUUUGAUGGGUCUCUGGAGCAUUGAGCCAUAUGCUACUCACCAUGUUUUGCGCCAAUUGGGCAGGUUUCAAACUAUUCCCCAUGACAAAGAUCUAAGUGGACAAGUCGUCAAAUUGGGCACAAAGGCUAAGUUCCCCAAAGGAAGAGUACGUCAAGUUUGGAAUGAAUAGAGAUUUUUAGAACCUAAGAUCUGGUGCGUGAUUUAGCUAAGGGUGAGGUAGACCCCAAUUACAUAAAUUGGUUCGAUAAAAGGUUCCAAAUCCCUCGAUAGCUCGCGAGACCUGCUAAGAGAUCCCAUGUCCAACAAUCUACUAAUGACUUGCAGGAGCAGUGGGACUGGUUGACAAAAGAAGCAAGCUAUAGGGCCAAGAUAAGUAAUUAGAGGGACAAAUCAAGGACCUCAAAUUUAACAACAGUGUCCAAGCUGCCAUAGAUGAAAAGGAAAAAAAGAAGCUAGCGCAGGAAAACGAAGCCCUUAAAGCUCAUAUCCAAAAGAUGAAAACAAUUGCUAGGAACCAAGAAAGGAGUCGGGCAAAUGAAAGGAUUUUAAGUCGUCUCAGAAUAGAAAAUUCUCGAAUGUCAAGAUGACUUAGAGCAGUUUGAAGAAAGUUUAGCAAAAGUUCGAACACAACUGGCAAAGAAUGCAGCAGGGCCGGCAAAGUUUGUGCAACAAAUGAAAAGAAAAUAUGGGGGGACAAUCACGAAUCUGAAGAAAAAGCUAACCACCCUUGAAAAUGAGGCGAACAAGCAGACUACGAACUGUGAAGCCAAUAGAGAACAUUGCUAUGCUUUGAUGGGCCAGAUGGAGGAAAAUAUACAGCUGUUGCAAAAUCAAAGCCAUCAUGACACCAAGGUGCUAGAAGCUCGAACUUAGCAAAUUCGGCGCUUGCUUCAAGAAAAAGGUAUUAUCUAGGAGAGGGUUAGAGCCAUUGCCGACUACAUCAUCGCGAAAUGGCAAGCAUGUGAGGACAUGAAUCAAACCACUUUCUUUGCUACGGUAAUGACAUUUUUCCACCAAGUAAUGAGUGAUUUGGAGUGUCUUCAAGGGGAUCUGGGACAUAGGCCCGUGGCAAGACAGAAUGAUGUCCCACGGGCCCCAAGAGUCGAAGCACUUAUGCACUCAUGAUAUUUCAUUUAUCGAGUCUGGAUUUCAAUUUUUACAUUUGAAUUUAUUUCCAAGAAAUGAGUAGGUUGAACUCUUUUGUAAUAGAAAAGUUUAGCAUUUUUACUAAUGAAAAUUAAAAAUUCCCAAAAAAUUAUUUCUUUAUUUUUCACAUUUAUUUUUCUUGAACUACGUAAUAAUUUAAUUUACGUGCAUCGUGAUACGUAGGCAAGCCUCAACGGAUUCGGUCAUGAUUUUUGUUAACUCAAAUAAGAGAGGGAUGUGAAAAGAAGGAACCGAAAGAAAACCCAAAACAAAGAAAAAGAGAGCCAAAGAAAAACCAAAAGAAAAAUGAAAAAAAAGAGCAAGGAAAGAGAAAAAAAGAAAAAGAAAAAAUGGAAGAAAAGAAAAUUGGGAAAGUAAGCAAAACCGAGAUGAAACACGCAACCGUUAUGAAAUAUAUAGAAACACAUUUAACUGUUUACGUGAAUCACACCCCAACUUGCGAUUACCUAUGUGUUAAUUGCUUCAAAACUGACCGGUUUGUUGUCUACUGUUAAGUCCAGUUUCUAUAGUAAGGUGCUUGUUUUGUGGUAGUCUGGCUUCACAUCCAUACUUCACGAGGUCAAAAGGAAGCGUCGAAAUAUGUUCGUAAAGUCAUAUGCCAAUAGUCCCUAUUUCUGAGGAUAGCCCAAUCUCGGCUAUCCCAACUUCUAAGUUGGUAAUUGCUGAGGAAAAUAGAAUUUUGCGUCUUCGUAUGAUGGAAAUAUGGGAUGCCUGGGCCAAUGGCAGAGAACCACAAAGCGUGAUACCUGGAUUCCUUGAGUUACUUCCCAGGGUGAGUGGAACUACCAAUGUCCCCAUCUGCUACCCAAAUACCCCACUGGGAUAUCCUACCAUUUCAACCCACUUUGCUGGAAUACCUUCUGAGGCUCGCCCCCAUAUGUUAACUUCAGGUGCGGCUUCAAACAUAUUCCCCGCACCACCUUGUUCAGCUACGAUGCAACCUAUUUUACCCAGUCCUAGCUUUGAUCCAUCGGCCUUCACCUUUCAAACGCCAUCUUUCCCAAUGGAACUUACUUAGUUUACUACUAAUGCUUACCCUCAGUUGCCUCUGUACGAGUUUACUGCAGGAUAGGAGAAAAUUGCAAAAACCCAUGAACAUGAGGAGAUUACCAGAAAGAUGAAGAGCAUGGAGCAGAGUCUAAAAAAUAUACAUGGUUUGAGCGGGUAAAAGAGCGUAUCCUACGUUGACUUGUAUAUGUUCCCACACGUGCAUCUACCCUUGGGUUUCAAAACCCUAAAGUUUGGAAUAUAUGACGAGCAUGGGGAUCCCAUAGCCCCCUCAAGAGAUAGUGCAACCAAUUACGGGGAGCAGGUGGAAAAGAAGAGCUCCUCAUGUCUUAUUUUGGGGAGAGCCUGGUCGGUAUUGCUUCUUAAUGGUAUAUGGACCAAGAUAUACCUCGGUGGAACAUUUGGGAUGACUUGGCUCGAGAUUUCAUCAGGCAGUUUCAAUACAACAUCGAUAUUUACUCCGACAGAAAUUCAUUGUCAAAUCUAAAGAAGAAGUCCUUAGAAAGCUUCCGAGAGUAUACUGUCAAAUGGAGCGAGCAAGCCGCUAGAGUCAAACCUCCAAUGGACAAAACAAAGAUGGUUAAUGUCUUUCUUCAAGCCUAGGAGGCUGAUUAUUAUAAGAACAUGAUGUUUGCGAUGGGGAAACCAUUUGCCGAAGCUAUAAAGAUUGGUGAAAUGGUGGCAAAUGGUUGAAAAUGGGUUAAAGACAGGACGCAUAUUAAGUCAAUCUGCUAUAAGGGCUACCUCCCAAGCGAUUCAAGGCAUAGCAAACUGAAAGAAUAAGGAAGAAUCUGCAAUGGCGACUUCAAGUGUAAGAAAAACACGUCCACCCAGACCUUAUCUCUCUAAAAGAACCCCUCAACAUUACUAUCCCCCUCAAGAUAUGGCCUACCCUAUGGUUCCUCAGCCAUACACAAUGAUGAAUGCCUAACCUUAUGUUAGGCCACAACAACAAUUCAUCAAAAUCGAGCUCCAUUUCCCAGAAAUCAACCUCUUCACCUAGCUCAGUAUAAUCCAAGACCUCCACAGAACAACUUCCGAACCCCGGAACCACCCAAGAUGGAAAACUUCACACCCAUUGGUGAGUCAUAUUCCAGCCUUUUUCCAAAACAUGUCCAGAUGGGUUUGUUGCAGCCCCUAUCUCAAACCAGGAAGAAUCCAACGUCGCCCGCUUACAAAGCCGGUGCUCAAUGUGCUUACCAAUCGGAGUCGGAAGGACAUAAUACAGAUAAUUGUUGGACCCUAAAGAAAGCUGUGGGAAACCUCAUAGAACAGAAGUGAAUAGUGCUAAAGACGGAGACAUUCCUAAUGUAACCAACAAUCCAUUAUCGGAUCACAAAACCGGGCCGAUUAUUAGAAUGAUAUGUGAAGAUAGAGAGUUUGACCUAGCCCUAAAAGCCAUUAUUGCCAUAGAAAAUGUGGAAAAGAAGCCAAACGCUAUUGCAAAACAAGACAAGUAGGAGAUAAAGAAUAAAACUACCCUUUAGAAGACCGAAAAGAAAGUGGAAGUCAAAACUGGGGCAGUGCCCUCCAAAGACGCCGUUCUCUAUGUUCCUUGAGGAGACAAGAAAGAACAAAUGUCAUUAAGUCCUCCUAGAAGAUAUGAGUUAAACAAGGGAGCUAAAAUGUAUGUGCCCAAAGGGACCUACGUGGUGCGGGGGACAAUAAUUCCACCAAGGUUGAAUGAGCCCAUGGUUAUAGGCCACACACUGGAAAGGCCUAUGACAGAUCCCACGGUCGUGACAUGGAACUAUAACAAAGCGGUAGUAACUUACAAAGGCAAAGAGAUCUCACAAGAAGUUAAGGAAAAUAACCCGGCUGAGAAGUACCUCAAUCUGGAGGAAGUGAAUAAUGCCACAAAGAAGCACUUUCACCUAAGAAGCUAGUGAGUGCUGAAGCAGUAGAAGCAUUCUUCCAGAAAAUGAAAAUGGCAAAGUAUGAGAUAAUUGACCAACUUCGAAAGUCUUCUGCUCAAGUCUCUCUGUUAUCUCUGCUAAUGAACUCAACUGAACAUCAGAAUGUAUUGAUCAAAACCCUCAAUGAAGCGUAUGUACCAAUUAAAACUACUGUGGAACAGUUGGAGAGGAUGGCAGAAAGGCUUUUUUCAAUCAAUCAAAUCUCCUUCAAUAAGAAUGAUUUGCCUCCGGAAGGAGUUACCCACAAUAAAGCCCUUCAUUUGACGGUGAAAUGCGAGAGAUUUUAUGUGAAAAGGGUCAUGUUAGAUGGUAUUUCUGGGGUAGAUAUUUGCCCUCUCUCAAAUCUACAACGUAUGGAAAUCGGUACUGAGAGAAUUAGGCCCAACAACAUCUGUGUGCAUGCCUUUUAUGGCGUCAAGAGAGAUACGAUAGGCGAGAUUGAUUUAAUUUGACCAUUGGCCUGGUGGAUUUCGGGGUGACCUUUCAGGUCUUGGACAUGGAUACUUCCUAUAAUUUCCUCUUGGGAAGACCUUGGAUUCACGCAGUAGGGGAUGUGCCUUCUACUCUCUACUAGAUGGUGAAAUAUGAACAUGAAGAUUACGAGAUUAUAUUUCAUGGAGAGAACAAGCAGUUGAUUUACUGGGACCUAUCAGUCCCAUGUCUCGAAGCCAAGAGAAGGUAGUGAGCAUAUAGUUUAUCAAGCUUUUGAAGUAGUGGUCGCAGACCAACAUGAAGAGGGAAACCGUUGUCCUUAACCUUUUCUGUAAAAUGCAUCCACUAUGGUCACUGCUGAAAUAAUUAAACAUGGUUACAACCUUGGGAAGGUAUUAGGGGCAUCACCGAAAGGUAUCACGUCACCUGUCACUCCACCAACCAUCAAGAAAUGCUUUGGUGUGGGCUUCCAGGCCACGUCAGCUGAUGAAAAAUGAGUAAAUAAACGAAAGAAUAAUGGUUGGGUCUUGCCUCACCCGGUUCCACACCUUUAUAGAACAUUUAUUACGCCUAAGUACAGUGAGGAAGAAGAAGAUGAUGCCUUCACGGCCAAGGAAAUUGAAGAAACCUAUGGGGCUAUUGUCGAUGCCCCCUUUUUCUAAAGUGAAAUCGGGUUUAUAACAUUCUGUAGGACAACUCAUUCCCUUUUGGGAAUUAGGUUUUUGUAUUGAAGAGUCUCCACCUAAUGAUUAAAGUGCAUUAGGACACUAAAGAAGGUUUUGAGUUGAAAAACUAGAGUUCGGGUAAGGGCUAAAUUUUAUCCCGAGGGGAAGGUGUUAAGCACCCAUCGGGAUCCACUAGUCUUGUUCCCGACCAUGCUACAAUUGUGUUAAGUGAAAAUAAUAAGUAAACAAGCAUGAAUUACAAAUGCAGGAUAGUUUCACGUAAUGGUUGCAAACAAAGAAGUUAAAGAAAUACCUUGGGAAGAAUGUAGCUUUGAAGUUAAAAAAAAUGAGUAAAGGGAAGGGGUUUUUACAUAAUUGUUGCAAGCAAUUAAAGCAAAAAAAGUUAGAGAAGCUGAAAGUUAAGCAAUUUUCUUCAUUCUGAAAGAUAAACAAGUAAAGGAAGGGGGGAGGGGGGUCAUAGGUUUAUGAAUAAUAUGGAUCACAUCAAUGGAAUACCCGGUAAUCACUCCUUAGAAGAGGGGCUACACGUGGUGUUAGCGCACUGAUCAUCAUAUCCAUAUCCACCCUUCCCACCCCGUUAAGGUAUUAAAACACAGAAUAGUAUCGUUACUUAUUGCAUGCUAUUAAUCAUCCCCAUCCUAUCAACCUCUAUGGAAUUUCGGGCUACUAAUCCUAAAAGGGAAGAAAAUUGGGCUUUUUCAGAGUUUAAAAGGAAAAAGUUCUAAUGCGACAAAGAAAACACAUAAAGUAGUGAAGGGGAAACACAUAGCAGUUUGAAGGCUCAAACAAGCCUCCUCACUUAUAGAAGCAAAUGGUCUAGCAUGACUUUAAAUACUGCUUAUAGUCUGAAUUAAAUUCAAAGCAUUAAGAUAGGAUGAUUUGUCACAUAUUUCUCAAAUGAGAAGUUUGAAUUAGGCCUACCCUUGGUUGUUGUUAUCAAAGACUGAUACAGUUAAUCAAUCACCUACUGAUUUGCCUAGGUAAAACCUAUAGGAAUGAUAUCUAAUAAUGUGGAAGUAUACUGAUUUUAAAGAAGGGUUACUGAUUUUAGAACCAAAUAAUUCUGCAGAUAUUAAUGAUAUUACUACUGAUUUUACACUUAUAGAUGAAAGAGAAGAAUCCGAUUCAAUUGGUUACUCCUAUAGGCAUGAUUCCUAAAUUUUGUUGAUUUUAAGACGAUUAUCAGGAUACAGGAAUACUAUUGGCAUGAUAUCGAGGAUGCAACUUGUUAUUAAUUUAACUUAUAGAAUGUUUGCCUAAUGACAUAUGUAUAUGAAGAAGUGCGGAAACCUAUAAUCCUGAUUCCUAUAUGGAGAAGUGCAAAAACUUAUAGAUAUAAUUUCAAAUGUAUAAAUCCAGAAACUUAUAGACAUGGUUUCUAAUGUAUAAAUGCAUAAACUUAUAGGCAUGAUUUCUAUAUGCAGUAAUGCAACAACUUAUAGGCAGGAUUUCUAUAUGCAGAUGCAUAAAAUUAUAGGCAAGAUUUCUAUAUGCAGAUGCUAAACUUAUAGGCAGGAUUUUUAAUGCAGUAAUGAAACAACUUAUAGGCAGGACUUCUAUAUGUAGAUGCAAAAUCAGAAAACAGGCAAUGAUUGCAGAAAUAAAUACCUAAAGCAUGAUGUCUACCCACAUGCAUAACAUGAGUGACCCUCGGCUUUUCACUAUAUUCCCCAUAAGUUAUUACAAAUUAUUACAACUCAAAUGAAUCAAGAAAAGUAAAAUUACAUCAGAAAUUAAAUUACAACCAAUGAGCCUAAUUCAUACUUAAGGUCUAACAACAUGAGAUAAACCAAUUUCCAGGAUCAGAUUUCCAAAGCCUUUCUCUUUUUUGGGAUGUGCAAAACUUCCCAAGAGCCUCAAGUGGACUCCGGGCAGUGCUUACCCUUUUCACUAUAUACCCCAUAAGUUAUUACAAAUUAUUACAACACGGAUGAAUCAACAAAAGUAAAUUACAUCAAAAAUUAAACUACAACCAAGGAGCCUAAUUCAGACUUAAGGUCUAAGAAUAUGAGAUAAACCAACUUCCAGGAUCAUAUUUCCAAAGCCUUUUUAUUUUUUGGGAUGUGUCAAAAGUUCCCAAGAGCCUCAAGUGCACUCCGGGCAGUGAUUACACCCCAAAUAAAUUGCAGAAUUAGAUAAUAGUGCAGUGUGGAAGGGCAAUCCCUCAAAUGUCCAUGUUUAGAGGGAACUGAGGUCCCAAAGCAAGGCUCAUAGAAGGGGGGAAGAACUUAGAGUCUAAGAGUAAGUGUAAGUGCAUAGAGGGGAGUUAGGGAAGGCCAUGGUAGUAUGAAGGUCAUGCCCAGCAAUUAAGAGUGCUGACACACCCCUGACCACCAUGUUAGUCAAAUAUUAUGAGUUAGGAAUCAUUGAGGAUCAGGUUCAGACUUGGGCAGUAAUUUGAACAUUGCAAGGCCAUGAACCUUAACUCAAACACAUAGAGAGGAGCAAUAGAAACAGGUGCAAGAAAAGAACAUGCAUAGUCAAUAUUGAAAAUAAACAAUAAAGUAGACCAGAGUAAGGCAACUGUAAAGUAAACACAUAUGGAGGAAGCUGAAAUCAAAACUGAGACAUACCAGUUUCAUGGAAACAAAUAAGUAAAACAGUAGUCCUGAAAAGCUAGGUUGCAAGCAAAUAGUACAUAGACCAUAGGAGAGAGUAGAGUAUUGAAAGAGUAUUGAGAGUGUGAGAAUAUUGAGCUUGAAGUUUUCAAUAAUCAAUGUCUGUCAAAGUAUAGAAGGAUCGUGAUAGACUUUUAUAGUGCAACAAGAAAGUAAGAAAAGGUAAGGAAAUAACAUUAAAAUCAAUCUCCCUUUAACUAAGAGACUCUAAUUUCAAAUGGGUAAAGACAAUUAAGGAAAGAAUUAAUCAGAAUGUUUUCUCAAGCAGUACAAUAAGGGUAAAUACAUAAAAGUUAUUUAAGGCAAAAAUCUAGUGGUACUUGGUUUGCGAAAAAUAAGGAAAGGGAAUCAAUCAAACAGCUAGUAAGAUCAAAGUUAUAGGCUUUUGCUCGAAUGAACCAAGUCAUGAAAAGGUAAAGAAGGUCUAAUAAAGAAAAUCAGUAACAAUUAAUCAAACCCCAUUAAAGGAGUUUAGAAUCAAUUAGUAGUUGGAAAAACCCUUUUGAAAAAGAAUUUCUCAUAUAUAAAGCAGACAAAUCAAACAAAAGGGGUCGUCAUAUUACUUAGAAAAGGGUCUAAUAUUGAAAGGUUCAGAAUCAUAAGCAAAGGGAUACAAUUCCGUUUGUAGACUCAAAGUAAGUCUGAGAGUCCAGGGUUCCAAUGCAGAACCCUAGUCCAAACAGCAAAUAAAACUUGCCAAAGAAAAACCCCCAAAUCUUAGGGUUUUAAAUCGAAUCAGACAUAGAGAUGAGAAGGCAAGCCAUUGAAACAGACUUCAAAGGUCUGUUUCAGAGCCUCAUGAGAAUCAAAACAAAUACAAUAACAGGUUUGAAGUAAUAAAGAGAGAAAGUUGAUUUAAGAGCAUAGAAGAGCAUGUUUUAGAAAAGUAGGAUCUUAGGCAAGUGGUGUAAACUUAAGCCACGGUAGAUGGAAAAUUCUGAGCAAGAACACAAACAUACUCUAGUAGAGCAAACAAAAUCAAAGAACUCAACAGAAAACACAUGGAGUUGAAUAAUACUGGAAAGUAUAUCGAAGAGCAUGUAGGAAAUCAUAGUAAAGAAUAACAUACAAAUCUAGUCUUAGAGGCACAGUAGAACACAAAACAUCAUGAAUGUCAUAUAUAGUAGAAAAUGAAAAGUAGAAGAACAACACACGCAUAGUAAAAGGGAAACACAUGGGUAUGAUAUAAACAAACACACAUGAAGAAAAUAAGAAGAAGAAUGAGAACAGAUGUUUUUGAAAAACCUUUCAGAAACCCUAAAUCGAACACAAAUGAUUUUGAAAAUGAAAAUUUGGGAAGAAUGCUUUAAAUGUCCAGUAGAACACAAAUACAUCACAGAUCAAAGAAAAUAAAUAGACAAAAAACCUUAAAUAGCUUAGGGUUUCGGAGAAACCCUGGAAAAUGGGAAAGUCUUAGAAAAGUCAGAUCUUAGGUCGAAGAGGUUAGGAAUCGAAUUCUCGUGCUUGAAUAUGUUGGAGCAUGGCCGGAGAAGCCAUGGAAUCAAAUAUCUGAGAAGAUCUGAAAGAGAAUCAUCGAAAUCAAACUUCAAAAUCUUGAACACCCAAGGUCUAAUGGUGGAGAGGGGUGAGUAUAGACUAUCCAUGGCCUAAGAAGCCAUGGAUUCCGAUGAAAGCACUGUGAGAAAAGGUAGGAGGAGGCUAGGGUUCCGAAGUACUUUAGAGAGAACUAGGAGAAAGAGUAUUCAAGGGCGGCUGAUUAGGUAAAAUGAGGGGGAUUAAGGUAGGUUGUUUGGUUUAAUUAUGGGAGGGUAGAUUAUGACCGUUGAUUUGUGUGAUCAACGAUUGAGAUUAGAGAGGGUAGGUGGGAAACGAGUCUGAGUUGGUUUGAUUAGGGUUAUGGGUUAGGGUAAUUGGGUAUAAAAAUUGGGUUCAAAUUGGGGGUUCAAAUAAGGCUAAAACUGAAAUAAACGGGGCUAGCAUUUAAAUAGCCAUUUUUUCCUAUUUAUUUUAUAAAUAUAGUAAAAAAUGAUUUUAAAAGAUUAUUAAAGUACUGAAACAAUUAAUAAUAUAUAAAUAUUAAUUAAAAAUAUCGAAACCAAUUUUAUAAUUAUAGAAAUGCUAUUAAUCUUAUAAUAGUGUAUGGAAUUUAGCUUUUAUAAUGCCAGAUAAAUUUGUAAAAAAUAUACAAAAAUUAAAUUAAUAAUAUUAUGGUAUAAAUAUGAGAAUAAAACAAAUUAUUCACCAAAAUUGAUAGUCUUGGGAAUAAUUACUGAUUUUUGUACUGUUAAAAAUGGACAAUAAGUUGAUUUUAAAAAUCAUUAAAAAUUAGGCAAAAUUCCAAAAUCCUUGGGAAUGCUUAUAUAUGCAUAAACAUGUUAUUUUGAAAGUAUUUUGUAUGUAAAAAAAAUACAUAGAGCAAAAUAGGGUAUCAAUAGUUGCCCCUCUUUACCCGGGAAGGAUGAAAGAGUUGUCGGAUAAAGAUAUGAUGGUCAAUUUUGACCGAACGAAAUGACUUGAAGCAAUUUUCGUGCUCUGGUUCUUGAGCUGCCCACAUAUCCCCGAUUUUACAGGAAUCAUGCCAUAUUUAGUUUGUGAUCCAUUGGCGGAAUAUGCCGAUGGUGAUUUUCAAAAGACGGACGCGAUAUUUUGGUUGGAAGGACAGUCAAAUUCUAGUAGGCUGCUAGAACUGGAGUUGGGUCGCUCCUGUUGAGAAGGCCACUGCUAGCCGUUUACUUGCGAAUGAGCAAUACGAACAUAUAUUGUUCAUAAAUUUAAACAUGAUGCAAGUUCCUGUUGGGCCAUGAAUGUUGUCUUUGGACGGUUAAGAUCAUGCCCUUAGACCAUGACGUCCUGGGCCAUGAAGCGUAUAAGAAAGGGUUCACAAGCCAUGAAAUGAUGUUCUCGGGCUAUGAGGAUGAUGCCUCCAAACUAUGAUGCAUUUGAAUAAUGAUUCUAAAGAUAAAAUGGGGUCCUAAGGCCAUGGCAUGGCGUUCUCGGGCUAUGAAAAUGGUACCUCCAAACAAGGACGCCUUCAGACAAUUUGGCAAUCUUUAAGCCCAUGAAAUGCAGAAGGUGGCGAUCUUUCAGCCAAUGCAAGACAUAAAUAAAAGGUGGCGGUAUUUCAGCCGAUGAAGUGGAAUUAUUUUAGCCGUGCAAGAAAUGUAAGUAAAAUGGCGAUCUUUCAGCUGAUGAAAUGCAGAAGGUGCCGAUCUUUCAGCCGAUGCAAGAUAUAAAUAAAAGAGUGGCGAUUUUUUAGCCCAUGAAAGUGUAAAAAAGUGGCUAUAUUUCAGCCAAUACAAUGAGAUGGCAGUAUUUCAACCGGUGCUGGAUUUAAAUGAAAUGGCGAUAUUUAAACCUUGCAAGAAAUGUAAAUAAAAUGAUGAUCUUUCAGCUGGUGCAGGAUUUAAAUGAAGGGGAAAUAUUUCAGACGAUGUAGAAUUUAAAUGAAGUGGCGAUAUUUCAGCCGAUGUAGGAUUUAAAUGAAGUGGAGAUAUUUCAGCCGUGCAAGAAAUGUAAAUAAAAUGGCGAUCUUUUAGCCAAUACAGAUGGAGGUAGAGCUUAACCUCAGAAGGCAGAAAGGUAGCCUUAUGCAAUGUAGAAAAAUGCAGGAGGGAGUUAGAGCUUAACCUCGAAAGGCAGAAAGGUAGCCUUAUGCAAUGCAGAUGGAGGUAGAGCUUAACCUUGGAAGGCAGAAAGUUAGCCUUAUGCAAUUCAGAAAUGCAGAUAGAGGAAGGUAGCCUUAUGCAAUGCAGAAAUGCAGAUGGAGGUAGAGCUUAACCUUGGAAGGCAGAAAGGUAGCCUUAUGCAAUGAAGAAAUGCAAAUACAGAUAGAGCUUAGUCUUGGAAGGCAGAAAGGUAGCCUUAUAUGCAAUGCAGAAAAGUAAAAGGAGAACAAUAGUAAAAUUCUUAGUUGAUGGCUUGAUAGCUGAUAGCUGAUUGCGGUAUUGUGGUUUUUGGGGAUGCCGUGUACAGAUAGUAAAUCCAAAUAGGUGAUGGUUCUGAGGGUUGUAUUGUGUAAAUGCAUUCGAUGAUUUUCAACUUGGGUGCAUGCAUCCAAAGAAAAAAUCGUGAGUUUUGUAGAGGGGAAAGGUUAGUUCGUAUCCCCCUGAACUUUGCUUAUCCUUCUUGGCUCCGUUUUCAGUGAUGUUGUAUACCUUGGGGUAGCGCUACUAAACAAAGCAAUUUGGUAAUAGACCUACAUGAUUUAGUAAAAAAUGUAGCAUAUAUAACAAAAAAUAGUUUUCUUUAGAUGAACGACCGACUGUGGCGCGGUUCAAGACAUUGCAACCUCUUUUGCUCCUGAAUUUUGAGGGAACUCCUCAAAGUUCUGUCCCAGUUUACUGGGUCGAUUCUUCUAACGGCUGCUUGCGAUGAUCGGUUGAAGCUACUUUAAAAUUUUGAGGGUCCUCCUCAAAAUUCUGUCCGAGUUUCCAUUUAUGGGGGCGGGGGGGGGGGAUUAAAAUUUUNNNNNNNNNNNNNNNNNNNNNNNNNNNNNNNNNNNNNNNNNNNNNNNNNNNNNNNNNNNNNNNNNNNNNNNNNNNNNNNNNNNNNNNNNNNNNNNNNNNNNNNNNNNNNNNNNNNNNNNNNNNNNNNNNNNNNNNNNNNNNNNNNNNNNNNNNNNNNNNNNNNNNNNNNNNNNNNNNNNNNNNNNNNNNNNNNNNNNNNNNNNNNNNNNNNNNNNNNNNNNNNNNNNNNNNNNNNNNNNNNNNNNNNNNNNNNNNNNNNNNNNNNNNNNNNNNNNNNNNNNNNNNNNNNNNNNNNNNNNNNNNNNNNNNNNNNNNNNNNNNNNNNNNNNNNNNNNNNNNNNNNNNNNNNNNNNNNNNNNNNNNNNNNNNNNNNNNNNNNNNNNNNNNNNNNNNNNNNNNNNNNUUAUGGGGGCGGGGGGGGGGAUUAAAAUUUUAUUGAAUUGUGACUGAACCCACAGGGUUGCCUACAUAUCCCCUCUUAAACGAGAAUUAGGUCAGAUGUAGUUCAAAUUACAUAAGAAAAUCACAAAUGAUUACACAUAGUAUCAUUUGACUACAUUUGAAUUGAUCAUCUUUAGCCAAACUUCUCCGUCCAUUUCUGCAAGUAUAAGGGCUCCUCCUGUCAGAACCCGGUGAACCAUGUAUGGGCUUUUUUAGUUAGGAGAUGACUUCCCUUUUGCUUCAUCUUAAUGUGGAAAAAUCUUCUUUGACACCAGGUGCCCUGGUAUGAACCAUCUUGGUCUAACUCUCUCAUUGAAGGCUGUGGUCAUUCUGUUCUGAUAAAGCUAACUAUGGCACACUACAUUCAUUCUUCUACCAUAUGUGAGGGCUAAUUGUUCGUAGCGACUGUUUAUCCGUUCUGCAUCAUCGAGUUCUGCUUCUUGUGCAAUCCUCAAUGAGGGAAUUUCUACUUCGGCGGGAAUGACCGUUUCGUUACCAUAAACUAACAUAUAGGGAGUUGCACCAGUUGAUGUGUGGACUGUGGUGCGAUAUCCUAAUAAAGCAAAUGAUAGCUUCUCAUGCCAUUGUUUAUGCUUCUCUACCAUCUUUCUCAGUAUCUUCUUGAUUUUCUUGUUUCUUCUACAGCUCUGUUCAUCUGAGGCAUGUAGGCUUUCAUAAGAUCAGUAUUGAGGUUGGAACUGUUGUCAGUGGUGAUUGAUUCUGGAAUCCUGAAUCAACAAACAAUAUAGUCACGGACAAAGUCUACCACGACUUUCUUGGUCACUCCUCUGUAAGAUGUUGCUUCAACCCAUUUGGGGAAUGAGCCCGUUUGAUGUAGUGGGCUCGAUAGGUUCGAUAACAUACAUGCCCCAAGCUGCGAACGAACAUGGCGAGCUUGUUUCAUUAAGCUCAUUCGGAGGUACUUUUAUCAUGUUUGUAUGGAUCUGAAAACGGUGGCACUUUCGUACAUAGCGGAUGUAGUCUGUCUCAAUAGUCAUCCAAAAAUAACCAGCCCGGAGUAUCUUCUUGGCUAAGACAAAACCCUUCAUAUGUGGGCCGCAGGUCCCAACAUGAAUUUCUUCUAGUAGCUUAGAUGCUUCCUUUGCGUCAACAUAUCUUAACAGUCCCACAUCAGGAGUCCACCUAUACAAGAUUCUUCCACUGUGAAAGAAGUUGUUGGAUAACCUCCGAAGUGUACACUUAUGAGUGGGAUUUGCGAGCUCGGGAUAUUCUCCUUUUGCCAAAUAUCCCUUGAUAUCAUGAAACCAAGGUUUUCCAUCUUCUUCUUCCUCGACAUGAUCACAAUAAGCUGGCUGACCAUAGAUCUUCAUGGGAAUAUGAUCAAUAAAGUUCUUAUAUGGAUGUUUUAUCAUAAAGGCCAGGGUAGCCAGUGCAUUGGCGAACUCAUUCUAGACUCUGGGAACAUGCUGGAACUUUGUCUUUGUGAACCUUUUCCUCAACUCCUAUACAUGAUGCAUGUAUGGGAGUAUCUUGGAGUUCUUGGUUGCCCAUUCUUCUUGGACCUGGUGUAUAAACAAGUCUGAAUCUCCAAUCACUAGCAACUCUUGGAUAUUCAUGUCAAUGGCCAUCUUAAGACCUAAGAUGCAGGCUUCAUACUCGGUUACAUUGUUAGUGUAGGGGAACCUGAGUUUGGCGGACAUCAAAUAAUGCUGGCCGGUUUCUAAUACUAGGACUGCUCCUAUGCCAACUCCUUUGAAAUUUUCUGCUCCGUCAAAAAAUAUCCUCCAACUUUCAUAGGAUUCUGCAUUGUCUUCCACCUAUAAAUGAUACCUCCUCAUCUGGGUAAUACAUCUUUAGGGGAUCGUAUUCUCCAUCCACAGGGUUUUCAACGAGAUGAUCCGCUAGUGCCUGUCCCUUGAUUGCUUUCUGGGUCACAGAUAAUGCCGAAUUCACUCAGCAUAAUUUGUCAUUUGGCUAGCUUGGCAGUGCGCAUGGGCUUUUGAAAGAUGUAAUUCAAUGGAUACAUCUUUGAUAUGAGAUACAUAGUAUAGGCACAUAAAUAAUACCUCAAUUUCUGGGCUACCCAAGUCAGGGCACAACAGGUGCAUUCCAAUAGAGAAUACUGAUCCUCAUAUGGGGUGAACUUCUUGCUGAGAUAAUAGAUGGCCUGCUCUUUUCUCCUUGUUUCAUCAUGCUUCCCUAGAACACAACCAAACGCUCUAUCUAGCACCGCAAAGUAGAGUAAGAGGGGUCUACCUAGCUCGGGCGGAACCAAGACUAGCGAUGUUGACAAGUCCUCAUUGAUUCUGUCGAAGGAAUUUUGGCAGUCAUCUGUCCAUUUGGUAGCGGCAUCCUUGUUCAACAUCUUAAAAAGUGGCUCACCGAUGACAGUAGACUGUGCUAUGAACCGGCUAAUGUACUACCCAAGAAACUCAUUACUUCUUUUUUGUUCUUUAGCGGUGGCAAUUCUUAAAUAGCUUUGACUUUUAAGGGAUCCAAUUCAAUCCUUCAGCGGCUCACAAUGAACCUAAGAAAUUUCCCAGAUGGAACCCUGAAUGCAUAUUUUGUGGGAUUCCAUUUCAGGUUGUAUCUUCUCCGUCUAUUAAAAAAUUUCCUUAAAUAUUCUAUGUGAUCAAUUUAUUUCUUGGACUUAAUAUUGACGUUUUUAUACUCCGAUCUCCCUGUGUAUCAUGUCAUGGAGAAUGGUAGUCAUUGCCCUUAUGUAGGUGGCCCCAACAUUCUUUAACCCAAACAUCACUAUCUUGUAACAGUACAUCCCCAAUGGUGUAAUGAAGGCCCUUUUCUCAGAAUCUUCUUCAUCUAUCCAUAUCUUAUGGUACCUAGCAAAACAAUCGACGAAUGAUUGCAGCUCAUGCUGACCGCAGUAGCCAAUCAGGAUGUGUAUAUUCGGCAAGGGGAAGUCGUCUUUGGGACUGGCUCGGUUGAGGUCCCGGUAGUCGACACAGACUCUAACCUUCCUAUCCUUCUUCGGUACUGGCAUGAUGUUGGCUAACCACGUCGGAUACUCUACUACCCUGAGAACCCAAGCUUUGACCUGCUUAAUGACUUCUUCCUUGAUUUUCAAACUCAUAUCUGGCUUGAAAUUUCUGAGCUUCUGCUUUACUGGCAGACAGACCGGAUCAAUCGGCAAUUUAUGAGCCACAAUAGAUGUGCUUAGACUGGUCAUGUCAUCAUAUGACCAGGCGAAUAUGUCUUCAUACUCUCUUAUGAACUCUGUAUAUUCUUUCUUUUCUGAUGGUGACAAAUGGACGUUGAUUCGUGUUUCUUUGAUAUUUUCUGCAUCUCCCAGGUUGAAUCUCAGUCUCGUCAAAGUUGGGCUUAGGCCUAUUUUGAUAAUUUUCAACUUACUUAACAAUCUCUUCUGGUAUAUCAUGUUCCUCUAAAUCUAUGUCUAUUUGUUGCGUUGUCUCAUUGCAUGUCACAGUCAUUGGUUCAUCAAGUAAAGUAAUGGUAGUGCUAUUUGAAUAAAGUAAUGAAAAUAAUAAGCGUAAGAUUUAUAAGAAACUAAAAUACUUUAGUAAAUUUCAUGAAUAUUUUCAACAUUGGAGCUCUUUCUUGCAAAAAAUAAAAAACUGCGAAAGGAAAAUAAACUAGUAAAACAAAACAGUGUGUGGUGCUUUGUUCAGCCUUACUACCUCGAGGCGCACUGGGCUCUGGUGAUUUUGAUAGUCCAAUUAUUGAGGCGUGCUACUUUGUUUAUGGCAUGUAUGGAAGUGCCUUCCUCCCCCUCCUCCUCAAAAAUAACACAGCAAUCCAUGUCAUCAUCUCAUAGGAACAAAUUCUUCAUUGCUGCUAGUGCUUUCUCUUCUUCUGACCCAUAGAUGAUUUCGGCAGGUUGGAAAGUCUGCUCCAGACGGGGUAUCGGCUGCAACAAUAGAUAGUAAGGACCACUCUAGGGUGGAGACCAGUAGUUGAAUUGAUCCCAAGUGUACUCAUACCCUAAUCCGAAGGUGGUGCCUAUUUCUUAAGCUUGAUAGGCUUAACAAUUCCCUGGAGAUUCUUGCCAAGUCCUUUGCUAGGCUCAUACCCGCUCCAAUUCAGUAUGCUUUCAAAUUUGUUUUCCCACCAUUUAUCCUUAUCGACGGCAUUGACUCGCUCGAUGUGAUGGUAUAUUUCUCCACCUAUCAUUCUUCUUCCUCCGAAUAUUGGGAUGGUCUGGCGACUGUAUAUGGGAUUGCUACUGUUGUCGUGAAUAAUCACCUCUUGGUGAUUCCAUUCAAACUUCACUGCCUGAUGUUGGGUUGAUGCUACAACCCUAGUGGCAUAAUUCCAUGGUCAUCCCUGAAGCAAGUAAUAAGAUGCGGGUACGUUUAUCAGUUGAAAAUCAACAUCAAACCAAGUAGGCCCCAUUUUCAUACAUAAACUAAUUUCACCAAUAGUAGAUCUCUGAGACCCGUCAAAAUCCUUAACAUUGAUGGCUCCGUCCUUGAUUUCCUGCAGCCCUUUCUCUAAUGUCCCGAGUGUUACUAACGGUAGAUGUUGAGGCUGGACACUCCGUCAAUCAAGACCUUGGUGAUGAAAUAAUCCUCGUAUUGCACAGUGAUGCGCAACGCCUUAUUGUGGCUCAGCCCUUCUGGUGGCAGCUCAUCUUCAUGGAAAGUGAUUUUGUGACUCUCCAGCACUUGACCAACCAUGUUUUCCGUUUCUCCUCCAGUUAUGUUGCAAGGUACAUAUGCCUCACUCAGCACCUUAAACAAGGCAUUUUUGUGUGCAUCGGAGCUCUAUAGCAAAGCCAGGAUAGAGAUCUGGGCCGUGUUUUGUUCAGUUGGUCAAUGGUUGAGUAUUCAUUUGCUUGUAUCUUUCUCUAGAUAUCAUUGGGCCUAGUUUCAAUGAUGGCUUAUCGACCAAAGGUCUACUUACUCGGCUCAGCCAAGUGUUAUGGGGUAUAAACCCUGUCGAUCCUUGCCAUACCUUGAGCCACGACUGCUUCCCUGAACCUGGAUUUCUCCUUCCUUCUCGCCUCAACUUUGUGGUCACAUGGUAUGGAUUUUGUGUGGAAUGGAGUUACGACUGUGGUUGCUACUGGAAUAGGCACACUUGCUUUGGCGGGUAAUAUAGCAACUUCAAAUGGCUCAGAGGCCUUUGGGGACCCAAACUCGACCUUAAUUGUUGUUGGCGUCUUUACAGAGGCUGGCAUUUCAAACUUAAGUGGUGUAGACAUGUUCACCUCAACAUUUUCAGAAGGCUGAAUUUUGACCACAAUCCGAUUAAGAGUGACAGUUGGUUUCUUUGGAUCGUCACCUUCUAUGAUCAAACCGAUUGAUCUUUUGGGAUCCCGAUAGUCCUCUAUUUCAAUCAUAUGAACACCUCCACACUUGUGGUCUUGUAGAGGGUUGUUGCGGACAUUCGGAGCAGGAACCUUUGCUACAAUGAUCCCGUUGUCAAUCAAAGCUUGGAUCUUGUCCUUCAGAGAGUGGCAUUCAUCAAGGGUAUGCCCCUUCAUGCCAGAAUGAUAUGCACAGGUUUUAUUUGGGUUGACCCAUUGGGAAGGGUUUUCAGGGGUUAUAGCAGGGAUGGGGGUGAUGUAACCGGCAGCUUAGAGUCUUUUGUACAGCUGGUCGAUUGGUUCGGCAAUGGUGGUAUACUAUUUGAGAGGUCUACGGUCGAAAUUUGGUCGAGGUCUUUGAAAGUUUUGGUGAGUAGGAGGUGAUUGAUAGUGAUAUGGUUGAGUACUGUAAGCUUGGUAAACGUGUGUGGGUUGGGAAUAUCUGUGUGAAAUAGGUGAGUAUGUAGGGGGUGGAGCUGAUUGAUAGAUAGGUGGUGGAGUUUGGUAGGAAGGUGCGGGUGUUUUGAAAUUUGGAGUGGGUUGAUAUGUAAGUGGAGAAAUUUGGUUCUCUUUUCAACCAUUAGGAACUUACGUCCCUCUUUUUGGAUGAACCACCGGACUGCAGAGCCUUGUUGGUGGCUUACAAAGCUUCAAAAUUAGUAACCAUACAACUCUUGAUGCCUUCUUCAAUCCUUUCUCCUAGCUUGAUGAUGUCAGAAAAUUUAUGGUUCUCGAUCAACAUCAGUCUUUCAUAGUAUUGAGGAUCCUGAACCCGGAAGAAAAAUUUGUUCAUCUGUUCUUCCCCUAAAGCGGUUCGAACCUUAGCAGCCUCUGAUUUCCGACGAGUGGCAUACUCACAGACUUUUCUGUGAGUUUCUUCAAAUUCUGAAUGUAAAACACAUCUGGUGCAUUUUCCAUGUUGAACCUGAACCUAUCCAUGAAGUCGGACGCCAUACUAACCAGUUUGAUCACUUCUUUGGGUCUUGGCUAAUGUACAAAGACAGAGCAUCUCCUUUCAGGCUCCUCAUGAAAAGUUUUAUGUGGAUAUUCUCAUCUUUUCCUACUCCGACCAUCUUGUCGCAGUAUGUCCUCAAGUGAACCCUGAGAUCUCCUGUACCACCGAACAUUUCGAACUUGGGAGGUUUGUACCCCUCGGGCAGUUUGACAUCGGGCUGUAUGUAUAGAUCUUUAUAGUUUAGCCUCUCAAUUCCUUUACUACCUUCAACGCCUUGGAUCCUGGAGGUCAGCUUCUUAAGUUCUUCAACAAAAUUUCUGAUGAGCGAGUCCUUGUUAUCGGACUCGGUUGUGCUUGAGAUGGGUUGAGUAGGAUGCGGCAAAGUUUCCACAUAGAUCUGGGGUGUUGUGUUGGUUGUGGCAGUGGUCAUUUGUGGAGUUCAAUGGUUCCGAGAUGAGUAGCGGAGUGUUGUUGGGAGUGCGGCAAGUAUUGCAAUGGUAGUGAGGAGCGGGAUGGCUUGGGACAUUUUGUGGAGGUAUGAGAUUCUGAGUAGCUUUUGGGGUGGCAAAGGAAAAUGACAGACUUUCCAUGUUUCAGACUUGAUCCAGUUCUUCCUGAAAUUUCAAUAGUUUCUGCUCGAGUUGGAAUGCACUUUCUUUGGAGCCCUGAGUACCCUGAGUGAUCUCUACCUGUUCAACUGAGUUGUCCUUGCCGAUGUUGCUCAAAUCUUCCAUCUUUCCCUUGUUCCCGUUUCUGAUAGGACUAGGAAGAGGAGUGGGUGGAGGGCCCUUGGAUCUUGUGGAAUACGAUGAAGAUGCCAGAGUUCACAAACUAACCUUUGGGGAGGGGAAUAUACAAAAUAGAAAAACAAAAGGUAGCAAGUUAGUAAGGAUUAUAAAAAAAAAUGUUGCGAUAUUUAAACACGUAGUGCAAGAAAUAUAAGGCGUGUCCUAAUUUUGGGGACCUUUUUGCGCCCGAGGUAGGCCUAGCGACAAGUAAAUUUGGAGAACUUAGAACGCUAAAUGCCUCAUUUUAUUGAUGUAAGCACAUGAUUUUUGUCAUAUAUGGAAUACUCCUAUAAAAUCCCAAGAAAAAUAGGUUUUUUUUAAUUGGUUAAAUAUUUUACAUUUUAGCAAUUUUAUUGAAUUUUCUUAAUUAUUUAUAUUUUUCUAGCCAUGUUUAAUUUAUUUAAAUCACAAAAAAAUACCGAAAUAUCAUGCAUUGCAUUCAGGAUUUGUUUUACAUUUUUAGGAUAAUCCUAAUUAUUUGCUUUAUAAAAAUUUGAAAAAUCACAAAAAUAGCUCAUUUUUACAUUUUUGACUUUUAAUUUUUGUUUAUUGAUUUUCCACUUUUAAUAUAGAAUUAAGUGUUGUUGAAUUGGAAAAAGGGUUUGCUUGUGAAAUUAGGCUAAAAUAAUGCUGAGCCCAAAUCCAAUAUUCAAAUCUUUCUAAACCCAAUAACCCACUCAAAACCCAAUAUCCCUACCCAAAUACCCAUCCGCCUUUACCCUAAUCACUCACAUAAAAGGGGAGCUCUUCCUCCACAACAUGUGAUUAUUUGGGACCCCUUAGAAAAGAAUAAGGGCGUCGCAACUCACUCCUCUCCUUCUCUAAAAAUCGGCAUCUUCAACCCCAAAAAUCCCUAAGUUCAUUAGAGACAAAAAUUAUCAGAUCAUUCUCUAGAAAAGAGAUAGCACCGUUCCCUCUCUUCAAGGUUCCUUCCCCUUUUCAUUUUUCUCAAUAGAGAACAGGGACCAUCUCUCGCUUUGCUGAAUCUCCAGCGAUCCAAAGCUAGAAUCUGGCCAGCCAUCGAGCUACCAUGGUUCUUCAUUUACUCUUACACACGCUGAGACCUCUAGCAAUAAGUGGGAAUUACAAAGUUUAGAGCUAAAAUUCAAAAAAUUGCAACGUUGAUUUUCAGUUUCAAACUCCUUGUCUUCUCUCGUAUUUUCUGGGAAUUUCAAAGCUUGGUGGAGCUGUAGAACUUGUUUCAAAGCUGGAGUUUGAUUUAAACUCGCUCUGUUUGAUUUCGCGAAUUUUACUAUUUUGGGAAUUGCUAAGCUUCAGUCGAUUUCGCCCCUGCAUCUAGUCUAUUUACUUGAGUUCUUUGUUCAACCAGGUAAUUUUAUAAUUGUUUAAGAGUUGUUUCAUUUUGUAGUGAGCUAAAAUUUGUCAAACAUAUUGUAAUAUGAUAAUUGCUGCCAAGGUGUUGAAUUUUAAACAUCUGUUACUUAUUUGUUCUCAUUUCGCGAUUAAGGUGAAUUAGAUACUAUUUGUUAUUUAACGCAACUUUAGUACCAGUUCUGUCUACUCCCUAGAUUCUUGUCUUUUGGCUUGAAAUUUUGAGAAAUGAACAUAUUCAUAUUGCAACAUUAGAAGAACUUAGCAAGAACGGUUUUUGCAAAUGGAACGGAGGAUAGGUUUAAGGUAAUUUCGUUCCCGAUUUGGGCUCACUGUUGGAACAACAAUAAUGUGAUGUUGAAUUUUUGUUUGCACUUUUGUUUUAUUACUUGAUGCAAUUCUCUUGAAAUUUUCUAUUUCUUCUUAAAUGCUUUGUAGUAGAUUUGCGUUAAUUUUGCUUCUUCUUCGACCCUGCCCGUUUCAUGUGUAAUCAGAUUCUAUGCUUUGCUUAAAACAUGUGUGGUUUGUUGCAACAAUAUUCAAUUUUGAGUAAAGAACAAAGUUACUUUUGUCCUCUUCUAUAGCUUUACUUGUUAAACAAUAGGCAAUAUGUUUUGGGUAAUUGUCCUCGUGAUUAAGGAAGGUCCAAAUGACUCCCUUUUAAAGAUGAAUUCGGCCAUUGAGGAGUCGGUGUGAAAUUGAUCAAAAUGAUUCAUUUCCAUGUUACUGCCAACAUUUCAUAUUUAAACCUAUGAAUGGUUCCAUAAAUCAUAGCAUCACAAUAAUUUCAAAAGCAGUUUAAGAAAUAAUCUUAGAACAUUCCUAGUUUGCUUUAGUAGAUUGUAAUCUUUUGGAAUAAUUUGAGGCGUGCCAUGUCAAAUAAAAUCGCAAAACUCAUGACCAUCACUUAAUUAAUUUUAAUUCUUAGAACUCGAGGCGCGCCAUUUAACAAAUUUUCCAUGGCCCCCACGAAGUUAAAAACACGUAGUUUCUUUAGGCGCUAAUUUAAAUUAAUUUUCUUAAACUCGGGUGUGCAUUUCAUGUGAUCCAAAUCCAAAUUUCUCAACGUUAAAUAAAAUGUGUCUCGGACUGCUGGUGCAUUUCAUGUGACGUGGUCCAAAAAUGCGUUUUAGAUGACGUUGAAAUGUUCUUAAAAAUAAUUAAAAGUGGUUAAUAAGUUAAAAAGUAUACCAUAGGCUAAAACAUGUAUUAAAACAAGAUAAUAGGCCAAUUAUGAUAGUUUAUGCGACCGUGCUAGAACCACGAAAUCUAGGGGUGCCUAACACGUUCCCUCGGGUUAAUAGAAUUCCUUAUUUAGAAUUUCUGGUUCGCAAACUUCAUAAGGAAAGUUGAUAUUUCCUCAAUUUGGGAUUUAAAAUAAACCGGUGACUUGUGACACCAAAUAAACUAUCUCAAGUAGCGACUCUGAUCAUUAAAUAAUCCCAUUUUGAAUAAUAUCACUUAAAGUGGAAAAACUCUCUUAUACACUACCCUUCGAGGUAGUCUGGUAAAAAGGAGGUGUGACAAUUGAUAAGAAAAUAAGAUGAAUCCCAAAACGACACUAAAUAACAUGGAAAAAAAUUUCACUAAUGGCCAUAGGCCUUAUUACAUUUGCAAAGGAAUGGAAACUCCUAUCUAUUUGGCCUAGAAGGACCUUCCCCAGAUUCGAUAGUGUUGGCUCCCUCGUACAACUCUCCCAGCUCCCGUAGUCCUAGCAGCAAGUAGGCCCUGCUAGAUGUCUGCCUUCAUUUCCUUCAGCAACCCGACAAUCUUUGACCCUUUUCAGAAACUUCUUUUCCAAUUCUAUUAUACCUCGCUCUAACCGGAUCAGUCGUUUGUUGGCGCUGACAUCCAUAUCCUUCCAUUCUUCGAUUAGUUUUUGAUUGGCUUCUUGUAUUUCACAGUGCUUAUUUUCACAUUCCCGCAUCCUCUUGCAUAGUUGGUUGUGUUUUGCCUGUGCUUCGGCCCUUUCAUCAAUGAUCCUGUGACCUCGAACAAACCUGGCUGACCCAAAUCGUUGUGAUUGUCUUCUAGUGAUCCUAAAUAGUGUGGGGUACAACCGGCAUGGUAGCGAUCUGGUUUAAUGGUGUCUUUUCCUAAGACAAAUUUUCAAUGCCACAUAUACUGAGCCUGGCACCUAUAUGGACCAUUGUCAUCCUAGAAGUUGGCUCGAAAGUGACUCAUCUUAACGACCCUUGGUAUAAUCUACUUCCUACGCGCCUGUCUCAUAACCCAUAUAAGGACAUAUGGAUAGGUCCCUCUCAAACCAAUCAGUAUCAGAAAUGGCGCAUCCCUAGAUUGAAUGAUGAAUUCUUCAGUAAGGAACCACUCGAACAUUCAUUGCACCCGGCCCUCAGUGAGAUUGUCAAAGAAUUCGACCCAUUCUCUAGCAUUUUCUGGUUGGGCAUGUAAUUCAUUCAUUUUGGGUGAUAAAAGGCAAUAUGAUCGUCCCAAUCUCUACGACGGAUUUCCUUCUGGUACUCACCCUUUUUGAGGUGUUCCAUGAGCCAUAAUGGAGCAACAAAUUACAACCCUCGAAAUGUUUGGCUCCCUGUUAACACCUUUCUAGGGCUCGGUAUAUUUCUGCAACUAUCGUUGGCACAAGACUGAAUGGUUGUCCGUUGAUUCCUUCCAUUAAGGCUUUGGUGACCAUGGUUAUCCUAGUGUAGAUUCUUGUUUUCUUCAUUAGAAAUCUAUCAUUCCCAAGAAACAGAACAUGAAGACAAAGACCCUUCGAUGGAUGUGUCCCAAUGAGGUGAGGACGAACUCGUCAGGAUAAGUACAGUAAGAUUUGCUGUGACAGUACCUUUCAUACAAAUAGUCAAAGGGAAUAUAUGACUCCUUCAUAUAUGUCAAGUCAGGAUUCUUCUUUAGAUCCAUCAUUUUGAGAAAACCCAUGCCCUUGUGAUUUUCUAGCAUUAGCAAACCAGGAGCUUCCCAUGGUAUCCCAGCUAGUCCUCCUAUUUCCUCAAGCAAAGGUGUCAUUUCAAGGUCCCCGAAGCAGGUAUUCUUAUGCUUGUAUCUUUCUCCANNNNNNNNNNNNNNNNNNNNNNNNNNNNNNNNNNNNNNNNNNNNNAGGUUCUUGUUUUCUUCAUUAGAAAUCUAUCAUUCCCAAGAAACAGAACAUGAAGACAAAGACCCUUCGAUGGAUGUGUCCCAAUGAGGUGAGGACGAACUCGUCAGGAUAAGUACAGUAAGAUUUGCUGUGACAGUACCUUUCAUACAAAUAGUCAAAGGGAAUAUAUGACUCCUUCAUAUAUGUCAAGUCAGGAUUCUUCUUUAGAUCCAUCAUUUUGAGAAAACCCAUGCCCUUGUGAUUUUCUAGCAUUAGCAAACCAGGAGCUUCCCAUGGUAUCCCAGCUAGUCCUCCUAUUUCCUCAAGCAAAGGUGUCAUUUCAAGGUCCCCGAAGCGGAACACAAACCUAUCGCCAUCCCAAAACAGAGAAGCAACCUCUUUGAUUUUGUUGUUGGGUUGGAUUUCCAGAAGAGAAGACAAAUUUUCCAAAUAUUUGCGGACGAGAGUCUGAUCAGUGGAGUGAAGGUCUUCCCACCAGCUUAGUAACCUUGGGUGGAUGUUGGUUACCAUACCAAAUCUGGGGACUUCGUGCCUCAUUUUCUGUAAAACAAAGUGUUAGGCCCUUACCCCCGCCAAACUCGACUAUUUAAAUAUCAAUAAUUAGCACAUGAAGCAUUUAGUUCUCCAAAUGCAUAGAAUGUGGUAGCGUCCGUUUGGGGUUUCAAGGAAACACUGUGGGCUUUGGACAAGGCUAUCUUAAGGGGUCAUUAUGUGCAAAACAUAACUGAAUCAGCUAGGUUCGACAGUGAUGCAUGCACAAUUGAACAGAGUAAGGUUUCUGAAGGGUGUUAGACCGGUACCCUUGAGCGGACAACUCAAGAGGGAAAGGCACAUAACCGUUGGCUACACCAUUGAUCGACUAGUUUUACCGCAAAUAUGUUUUUGCCAAAUUUAGGGGGUAGUGACAUCGGAAGGGCACAACUACUCAUUAAUAAGCAUUGCUAUGGUAUUUUGUUUGGUACGAGUGGAAUAUGAUGUUGAAUAUGCAGUUGCAAGAAUUUAAACAAGUUGUCAUGUAUUUGCACGUUCAUAAAGUAAUGAUUACAAUAAUUGCUCAUAAUUACAACAGUAUUAAAGGAAAGUGGGAAAAGAAAGUAUUAAAGAAAAGAAACAAAGAGCCAAGUCAGUUUCGUAAUAGAAAAGAGAUAAAGACAUAAAUAAAGGCAAAUAAGAAACAGUAAAGUCACAAGUAACAUGAAAUGGUAAAAGCCUAAAGAAAAUUUUCAAAAAAGUCGCCAUGCUAUCGAUGCCCCCUUUUUCUAAAGCGAAAUCCGGUUUAUGACAUUUUGGAGGACAGCUCGUUCCCUUUUGGGAAUUGUGCUUUUGGAUUGAAGAGUCGCCACCUAAUAAUUAAAGUGCAUUAGAAAAGUAAAGAAGGGCUUGAGUUGAAACCAGAUUUCAGGUAAGGGUUAGAAAUUAUCCCGAGGGGAAGGUGUUAGGCACCCUUGAGGAUCCACUAGUGUGGUUCUCGUUAAUGUUAUAACUGUGUCUUUAGGUGCGAAUAACUACUAAACAAGCAUGAAUUUAAAAUGCAGAAUUAUUUCACCUAAUGGUUGCAAACAAAGAAGUUAAAGAAACUGAAGUUUGGGAAGAAAGUUGCUUUGAAAUUAAAAAAAAUAAAUGAGUAAAGGGAAGGGGUUUUCAUAUAAUUGUUGCAAGUAAUUAAAGCAAAAGAAGUUAGAGAAGCUGAAAGUUAAGCAAUUUUAUUUAUUCUGAAAAAUAAACAAGGGCAGGGAGGGGGUGUCCUAGGUUUAUGAAUAAUAUAGAUCACGUCAAUGCAAUAUCCGGUAAUUACUCCUCAGAAGAGGGGCUCCACAUGGUAUUAACGCACUGGUCAUCAUAUCCAUAUCUACCAUUCCUACCCCGUUAAGGUAUUAAUAUGUGGAAUAGUAUCAUUACUUACUGCAUGCUAUUACCCAUCCCUAUCCUAUCAGUCGCGGAGGCAUUUGGGACUACUAGUCCUAAAAGGGAAGGGAAUUGGGCCUUUUCAGAGUUUCAAAGGACAAAAUUCUAAUGCGACAAACAAAACACAUAAAGCAGUUAAGGGGAAACACAUAGCUGUUUGAAGGCUCAAACAUGCCUCCUCACCUAAAGAAACAAAUGGUCUAGCAUUACUUCAAAUACUAGUUAUAGUCUGAAAUAAGCUUAAAGCAUUAAGAUAGGCUGAUUUGUCACAUAUUUCUCAGAAGAGAAGUCCGAAUUAGGCCUACCCUUGGUUGUAAUUAUCAAAGACUAAUGCAGUUAUUUAAUUACCUAUUGUUUUGCGUAGGUGAAACCUAUAGGCAUGAUAUCUAAUGAUGUGGAAGUAUAAUGAUUUUAGAACCAAAUAAUUUUGCAAAUAUUAAUGACAUUAUUACUGAUUUUAGACUUAUAGAUGAAAGAGACGAAUCAGAUUCAAUUGGUUACUCCUAUUGGCAUGAUUUCUAAGAGUUGAUGAUUUUAAAAUGAUUAUCAAGAUGCAGGAAUCCUAUAGGCAUGGUAUCGAGGAUGCAACUUGUUAUUAAUUUAACCUAUAGACUGUUUGCCUAAUGACAGAUGUAUAUGAAGAAGUGCGGAAACCUAUAAUCCUGAUUUCUAUAUGCAAAAGUGCAGAAACUUAUAGAUAUGGUUUAAAAUGUAUAAAUGCGGAAACUUAUAGACAUGAUUUCUAAUGUAUAAAUGUAUAAACUUAUUGGCAGGAUUUCUAUAUGCAGUAAUGCAACAACUUAUAGGCAG